rnacentral:rRNA from 1 species
UGCGUAGGUGGCCAUGUAAGCGCGGGGUGAAAGGCAAUAGCUUAACUAUUGUAAGCCUUGCGAACUGUGUGGCUUGAGUGCAGGAGAGGAAAGUGGAAUUCCUAGUGUAGCGGUGAAAUGCGUAGAUAUUAGGAGGAACACCAGUGGCGAAGGCGACUUUCUGGACUGUAACUGACACUGAGGCACGAAAGCGUGGGGAGCAAACA